rnacentral:rRNA from 1 species
CUCGUAGGUGGUUUGUCGCGUUGUUCGUGAAAACCGGGGGCUUAACCCUCGGCGUGCGGGCGAUACGGGCAGACUUGAGUACUGCAGGGGAGACUGGAAUUCCUGGUGUAGCGGUGGAAUGCGCAGAUAUCAGGAGGAACACCGGUGGCGAAGGCGGGUCUCUGGGCAGUAACUGACGCUGAGGAGCGAAAGCGUGGGGAGCGAACA